CCUACGGGUGGCAGCAGUGGGGAAUAUUGCACAAUGGGGGGAACCCUGAUGCAGCGACGCCGCGUGAGUGAAGAAGUAUUUCGGUAUGUAAAGCUCUAUCAGCAGGGAAGAAAAUGACGGUACCUGACUAAGAAGCACCGGCUAACUACGUGCCAGCAGCCGAGGUAAUACGUAGGGGGCAAGCGUUAUCCGGAUUUACUGGGGGUAAGGGGAGCGCAGACGGCGGUGCAAGUCUGGAGUGAAAGGCGGGGGCCCAACCCCCGGACGGCUCUGGAAACUGUAAAGCUGGAGUGCAGGAGAGGUAAGCGGAAUUCCUAGUGUAGCGGUGAAAUGCGUAGAUAUUAGGAGGAACACCAGUGGCGAAGGCGGCUUACUGGACUGCAACUGACGUUGAGGCUCGAAAGCGUGGGGAGCAAACAGGAUUAGAUACCCGGGUAGUC
rnacentral:rRNA from 1 species